CAUCGCCUCACACCACCGCACCAAAUCCUAACCCUAGAACUACCCCCUCCGCCAGCAUCCUCGGCCAACCUCCGGCGACCCAGACACCAGCCCGCCACGAACCACGAGCAAACUCCAACGAUUGGGGCCGACGCCUCGCCAAAUUACACCGAAUUUGGUCGAACCGGAUUAGGGAUGCUGGAGGGCGGCGGCUGACGCUCGAUCCAGGAGGGACACGCCAGCAAGGUAAGGAGCAAGGGUAAGCGGCGUCCGUACCAGAGCGGUGGCCUGAGGCUGCACGGAUUGGGCGGAUCUGCGCACGGCGGAAACGGUGGUGAGCUGGAGGCCGCUGGCUCGCGAGUAUACUUCGGAAAUGGGGGAGCGGAGGCGAGGGUGAGAGGGAGAGAGAGAGAGAGACUGCUUGGGCCGUGGGAGUUGUAGGUUGCGGCCAAUCUGCUCGAUGUUACCUCUGACAAGUGGCGCAUGGGGCAGGGGCCUUGUUGUCAGCCAGUCAAGUUUUUACUGGGCUUUGCUCCUGUGUGGGCCUUGCAUUUGCUUAACGCAUCUCGUUUUACGGGAUGCUUCUGCGGUCGCUCACCAUGACCGAUGGGGCAGAUAGUUCGGAGUUGUGAAGACGAGUGGAUGCCAUCGCUCUGCCUUGUGGGACAUGGAUCUCCCUUUAUUUCUUUUGCGGGUGGGACAUGAAUCUCCGGUCAGGUUUGUGACCGACUCGACCUGAUCGAACGGCGGUACACUUGGUCCAACGAACAAUCUCCGCCAACGUUGUUGGUCCGUUUGGAUCGUGCAUUCUGCACUAUGGACUGGGAGCUCAAAUUCCGGGCAGCUAAACUCCUCCCCCAGUCUUCUACCAUUUCGGAUCAUUGCCCGCUGCUCCUAGUGAAUGAGGGGAUGUUAAAAAAAUAGAGACGGUUUCAGUUCGAUCCAGGAGGGACACGCCAGCAAGGUAAGGAGCAAGGGUAAGCGGCGUCCGUACCAAAGCGGUGGCCUGAGGCUGCACGGAUUGGGCGGAUCUGCGCACGACGGAAACGGUGGUGAGCUGGAGGCCGCUGGCUCGCGAGUAUACUUCGGAAAUGGGGGAGCGGAGGCGAGG
rnacentral:lncRNA from 1 species